rnacentral:piRNA from 1 species
UCUGCCUUUGCAAACGAAUUAAGGGUGCAA